rnacentral:rRNA from 1 species
UGGAGAGUUUGAUCCUGGCUCAGGACGAACGCUGGCGGCGUGCCUAAUACAUGCAAGUCGAGCGGAACCWUUGGAGCUUGCUCCAUUGGUUUAGCGGCGGACGGGUGAGUAACACGUGGGCAACCUGCCCUGCAGAUCGGGAUAACUCCGGGAAACCGGUGCUAAUACCGAAUAGUUUGCGGCCUCUCCUGAGGCUGCACGGAAAGACGGUUUCGGCUGUCACUGCAGGAUGGGCCCGCGGCGCAUUAGCUAGUUGGUGGGGUAAUGGCCCACCAAGGCSACGAUGCGUAGCCGACCUGAGAGGGUGAUCGGCCACACUGGGACUGAGACACGGCCCAGACUCCUACGGGAGGCAGCAGUAGGGAAUCUUCCGCAAUGGACGCAAGUCUGACGGAGCAACGCCGCGUGAGUGACGAAGGUUUUCGGAUCGUAAAACUCUGUUGUGAGGGAAGAACACGUACCARGUAACUACUGGUACCUUGACGGUACCUCACCAGAAAGCCACGGCUAACUACGUGCCAGCAGCCGCGG